rnacentral:rRNA from 1 species
AUUGAACGCUGGCGGCAUGCCUUACACAUGCAAGUCGAACGGUAACAGGUUAAGCUGACGAGUGGCGAACGGGUGAGUAACACAUCGGAACGUGCCCAAUCGUGGGGGAUAACGUAGCGAAAGCUACGCUAAUACCGCAUACGAUCUACGGAUGAAAGCGGGGGAUCGCAAGACCUCGCGCGAAUGGAGCGGCCGAUGGCAGAUUAGGUAGUUGGUGGGGUAAAGGCUCACCAAGCCGACGAUCUGUAGCUGGUCUGAGAGGACGACCAGCCACACUGGGACUGAGACACGGCCCAGACUCCUACGGGAGGCAGCAGUGGGGAAUUUUGGACAAUGGGCGCAAGCCUGAUCCAGCAAUGCCGCGUGCAGGAUGAAGGCCUUC